rnacentral:rRNA from 1 species
CGGACGGGUGAGUAACGCGUGAGAAUCUACCUUCAGGUUGGGGACAACCACUGGAAACGGUGGCUAAUACCGAAUGUGCCGAGAGGUGAAAGGCUUGCUGCCUGAAGAAGAGCUUGCGUCUGAUUAGCUAGUUGGUGGGGUAAGAGCCUACCAAGGCGACGAUCAGUAGCUGGUCUGAGAGGAUGAUCAGCCACACUGGGACUGAGACACGGCCCAGACUCCUACGGGAGGCAGCAGUGGGGAAUUUUCCGCAAUGGGCGAAAGCCUGACGGAGCAAUACCGCGUGAGGGAGGAAGGCUCUUGGGUUGUAAACCUCUUUUCUCAGGGAAGAAGAAAGUGACGGUACCUGAGGAAUAAGCAUCGGCUAACUCCGUGCCAGCAGCCGCGGUAAUACGGAGGAUGCAAGCGUUAUCCGGAAUGAUUGGGCGUAAAGGGUCCGCAGGUGGCAUUGUAAGUCUGCUGUUAAAGAGUCACGCUCAACGUGAUAAAAGCAGUGGAAACUACAAAGCUAGAGUGUGGUCGGGGCAGAGGGAAUUCCUGGUGUAGCGGUGAAAUGCGUAGAUAUCAGGAAGAACAUCGGUGGCGAAGGCGCUCUGCUAGGCCAAAACUGACACUGAGGGACGAAAGCUAGGGGAGCGAAUGGGAUUAGAUACCCCAGUAGUC